rnacentral:rRNA from 1 species
CCUACGGGGGGCUGCAGUGGGGAAUAUUGGACAAUGGGGGGAACCCUGAUCCAGCCAUGCCGCGUGUGUGAAGAAGGCCCUCGGGUUGUAAAGCACUUUCAGUGAGGAAGAACGCCUGGUGGUUAAUACCCAUCAGGAAAGACAUCACUCACAGAAGAAGCACCGGCUAACUCCGUGCCAGCAGCCGCGGUAAUACGGAGGGUGCGAGCGUUAAUCGGAAUUACUGGGCGUAAAGCGCGCGUAGGUGGCUUGAUAAGCCGGUUGUGAAAGCCCCGGGCUCAACCUGGGAACGGCAUCCGGAACUGUCAAGCUAGAGUGUAGGAGAGGAAGGUAGAAUUCCCGGUGUAGCGGUGAAAUGCGUAGAGAUCGGGAGGAAUACCAGUGGCGAAGGCGGCCUUCUGGACUGACACUGACACUGAGGUGCGAAAGCGUGGGUAGCAAACAGGAUUAGAUACCCUAGUAGUC